CUUCUCAUCACAAUAGUAGCACAAUCCUUUCUCUUGACGUUCCCUCACCUCUUGAUUAGUGAUUCUUCGAAAGGUGGUGGGAUUAGCAUUUGCAUUGGGAUUCCCACGUUGGACUGGUCGAGGGCCUAGUACUCCAGAAGCUGAAGUUGAGUUUAUUUUUGAUGCCGUUGUUGCUGGUUGGAAGCGGCUUGGAUCAGGUGACUUUUUCUGUAGUCGAUUACGUUCUUCAACCAACCGUGUAACUCCUAUAGCAUCCGCUAAUGUUUUGGGCUGUUUAAUUUUCACAUCUAAACG
rnacentral:lncRNA from 1 species